ACUGGUAUGUGUGGGGCUCCAGCCACUUAGUUGGAAUUCACCAUGAACUGCAUCUCGAGGAUCAAGUUUAGGCUCCCCAGUCCAUUGUGACAUCCAGCAAAGUGGAGCCGGGCGCCCCCAGCAUCCCGUCUGUCUGACGCUAAAUGGCGAGGCUCUCCAACCCACUUAGCUCCAAGCUCAACCUUCUGCAAAAGUUCAACCUUCUGCACCACUGGGGAUAUCGUGCAGCUCAGACAUGGUCUUGCUCUGUUGCCCAGGCUGGAGUGCAGUGGCAUGAUCAUAGCUUACUGCAGCCUCAAAUUCCUGGGCUCAAGUGAUCCUCCCACCUCAGCCUCCAGCAUAGCUGAGACUACAGACACAUGCCACCACACCCAGGUGUCUGCAUCCGGGCUCUUUUUUGUAGUUCUGGUCUAUGUACAAGACAGGAAUAAUAGAGUUGGAGAAGACCCUGAGACGAGCAACUGAAACGGUGAAGGGGACGGAAAGCAAGGCGGGAUAUAAGCUAUAUAUAAAAUGAUAACUCUUCAUAUUAAAACUGGCUAAAGAGAUGGGGUUUCGUCAUGUUGCCCAGGCUGAUGUAGAACUCCUGGCCUCAAGCAAUCCACCUGCUUUGGCCUCCCAAAGUGCUGGGAUUACAGACGUGAGCCACCAUGCCCUGCUGGUUUAACGUUAUAUUGAAGUUUCUCCAACUGAAGGGCAUGUACUGUUGAGCAUGCUCAGAAGCCAAGGUUCAAGCCAUUCUUCAACUAUAGAUGCUUCAACUCAUCUCUCUUUCUUCGGAAUAUUCUCUCCCUUAUCAAUUUCACCAAUUAUACCAAGUAACCCCCUGCUUAUUCCCCUAGAACAGACAGAGCUGAUACUAGUCUGUGCCUUAUGUGAUUUAGAAAAAGACUCUUGGAAUGCAGCCCCAGACCAUGAUGUACAGAGCAUGAGUUGGGUAUUGCCCCAUUUUAUUCUCUAAUUCAGGUGCCCUUGUGCAGUGAAUAACAUGGCAGCUGUGAGACUAGUGAUGCUAAACAGGUUUAAUUUUUGGUGCAAAUUCUAAUGAAUUAAUAAUAGCUGUUUUAAAAAAACACACAGUGCUAAGAAAGACUCUGAGGCUGUUUUCAGGCUCAGUAGAUAAAUUGUACUGUAAGCUGGGAUGAUUUGCCUUGGUUGGGAGAAUGGCACCAGGUGUGACAAGAAUUUGCUAUCUAAGGACUAGAGGCAUCUCACCCGUCCUGAAGAGGUAGGAAGCCUGGGGUAGGCAGAUGUUGAGGUAGAAUGUGGGCCCAGACAAGUUUUAUAAUUUAUAGAACACAACUUUAAAAUGCCCUUGUAAUACAAGGCAACAAUCCUACUUUUCCAGGUCUCUAACAAAAAGCAUCUAGCUGAGCUAGAGUGUUUUCAUGAGGCAUCUGCUACACAAAACAAUGUCUUGCUUAAUAAAUAACACCCGUUUCUACUUGGUGUCAUUUUACUGUUUAAUCAAAACUUAUUUUCACCACUCUUAACCACAAUCUAAAGAAGGAUGCUUCAAUCUCUUCCUGAUUUAGCCUUAAACUUGGUCAUGUGUACCAUUCGACUAGGAUUGCCAGAGUCAGCCACCCUCCCAACAAAGGAUGCUCAGUUAAAUAUUGCACAGAACACACUUAUACUAAAAAUUGUUUGUUGUUUAUCUGAAAUUCAAAUUUAAUGGGGCAUAAUGUAUUUUACUUGGCAAUCCUACCUGUGAUGGACAUAUAUAUUUCCCCCCAGCUUUAUUAAGGUAUAAUUGACAAAUAAAAGUGUAAAUAUUUAUGAUAUAAAUGGAAAUAUAAACAGAUGCUCCUCGACUUUUGAUGGGGUUACAUCCUGAUAAACCUGUCAUAAGUUAAAAAUAUUGUGAGUUGAAAAUUCAUGUAAUACACCUAACUUACUGAAUAUCCUAGCUUGGCCUAGCCAACCUUAAAUGUGCCCAGAACACUUACAUCAGCAUAUUUGGGCUGAUGUAACACAAACCCUAUUUUAUCAUAAACUGUUUAAUAUCUCAUGUAAUUUAUUGAAUACUGUAUUGAAAAUGAAAGAUAAAAUGGUUGUAUGGGUACUC
rnacentral:lncRNA from 10 species